GGUAGAAAUAAACAAAGGAAACUAAGAAGGGAUGUCAGGGCCACUCGUUACUGUGGACCUGGAGAAUCUUUCUUAGUGACAGAGGCACUGAAAUCCAGCUGAAAUAUUUCAGCAAGAUCCUGUUCAGACUUGUGAGGGGACUCAAGGUCACUCCCCGAUGAGGAAAUAGGACAGAGACCUUGUUGGCUCUUCCAGGCUCUCUUGACCACGUCAGGGGGCGGGGAGCUUGCUUUAACAAUGAGGCCAUGUUGACAGACUGCUUGAGGAUCCCUAGAGAAAGGUGUGUGGUCUGCCCAGGGGAGGAGCAGCCUCUUCUCCUCUGGGAAGAAUAAAAAUCCCAGAACCUAUUUACUGUUUAACUGAGGAUGCUCCAGUGGGACACGCAGCCUGCAACUGGGUGGCUGCCUCUGGUCGAAUCCCUCUCCGUGUGGGAUUUCGACCAUCGCAUUUUACGCCCUCUCUUUCUUCCCCCACAGAUUUUACAAGUGAGAAGUUGACGUGCGAGUUCCAGUGUGGUUCAUCUACCUGCUUCCCUUCCCCCUCAGAAAACACACACACACACACCCCUUGAAAAGAAAUCAUGUCAGGUGAACUUGGGCUAUUGUGUUUCUUAGGUAAGGCUUUUAGAUAAAAAGCCUGCUUACAGUGGCUCCCAGCCCAGAGGCCGUUUGCACAGAUUUUAUUACACAAAGGCAGAAUUCAGGUAGGCCUCCCAACAAGGGCAUAUUGUAUCAUUGUCGCUUUGUCGGGAGGCCUGUUAAUGGUUUACACACUCUGUCCUCCAGUUUAAACAUAUACUUCGUGUUCAGCAGGAGCAACCUGAGGACUCACCUCACUAAGGGAGGCUUUGCACUCCUAAUACCUGGGGGUGCAGAGCCUCCCUCCCCCUCCCCGCGGCUCUCCUCAGUCAUCUAGUGUCUGUUCCCUCCCCCUGGAACUGCUGCUGCCUUCCCAUGUGACUCCACACCCUCAGGCCCUCGGGGCUUGUGUCCAGCCAGCAUCACGAGGCCUGAGAGGUGGGGCAGUGGGCACCUCGGGCCUGACAGGGCAGAGCAGCACCUCUCCCACCCCCUAAAAGAAGUAACUGCUUCAGCGCCCGCUGGGUGACUUUCUUCCUCUCUGAGAACUGCGCUGGACCACUGUGUGUUCUCUCAGAUCACCGAGUAAAGCAACCGGAUCAUUAAACAAGGCAACUCAGCGUGCAGGGUCGUGUGUCUGUCUGGCCCUUUUUAGAAUUAUUCCUGUUACUCCUCACAAGGACCCUAGGAGG
rnacentral:lncRNA from 1 species